UCCGGUGGAGUUCGUGCUGGAACGAGCGCCCGGCUGUUAACCGGGAGGUCGCAGGUUCGAUUCCUGCCGCCGGAG
rnacentral:tRNA from 1 species